rnacentral:tRNA from 1 species
GACUCUGUGGCGCAACGGUAGCGCGUCUGACUCCAGAUCAGAAGGCUGUGUGUUCAAAUCACGUCAGGGUCA